UUGAACGCUGGCGGCAUGCUUUACACAUGCAAGUCGAACGGCAGCACGGGCUUCGGCCUGGUGGCGAGUGGCGAACGGGUGAGUAAUGCAUAGGAACGUACCGAGUAAUGGGGGAUAACGCGUCGAAAGAUGUGCUAAUACCGCAUACGCCCUGAGGGGGAAAGUGGGGGAUCGUAAGACCUCACGUUAUUCGAGCGGCCUAUGCCUGAUUAGCUAGUUGGUGGGGUAAAGGCCUACCAAGGCGACGAUCAGUAGCUGGUCUGAGAGGAUGAUCAGCCACACUGGGACUGAGACACGGCCCAGACUCCUACGGGAGGCAGCAGUGGGGAAUUUUGGACAAUGGGGGCAACCCUGAUCCAGCCAUGCCGCGUGAGUGAAGAAGGCCUUCGGGUUGUAAAGCUCUUUCGGAGGGGAAGAAACGGUUACGGCCAAUACCCGUGACUAAUGACGGUACCCUAAGAAGAAGCACCGGCUAACUACGU
rnacentral:rRNA from 1 species